rnacentral:rRNA from 1 species
UACGAAGGGGGCUAGCGUUGCUCGGAAUCACUGGGCGUAAAGCGCACGUAGGCGGCUUAUUAAGUCAGGGGUGAAAUCCUGGAGCUCAACUCCAGAACUGCCUUUGAUACUGAUGAGCUUGAGUUCGGGAGAGGUGAGUGGAACUGCGAGUGUAGGGGUGAAAUUCGUAGAUAUUCGCAAGAACACCAGUGGCGAAGGCGGCUCACUGGCCCGAUACUGACGCUGAGGUGCGAAAGCGUGGGGAGCAAACAGG